rnacentral:rRNA from 1 species
CGGGUGGUAAUGCCGGAUGCUCCGGUUGGAUGCAUGUCCUUCCGGGAAAGAUUCCAUCGGUAUGGGAUGGGGUCGCGUCCUAUCAGCUUGAUGGCGGGGUAACGGCCCACCAUGGCUUCGACGGGUAGCCGGCCUGAGAGGGCGACCGGCCACAUUGGGACUGAGAUACGGCCCAGACUCCUACGGGAGGCAGCAGUGGGGAAUAUUGCACAAUGGGCGCAAGCCUGAUGCAGCGACGCCGCGUGCGGGAUGGAGGCCUUCGGGUUGUAAACCGCUUUUGAUCGGGAGCAAGCCCUUCGGGGUGAGUGUACCCUUCGAAUAAGCACCGGCUAACUACGUGCCAGCAGCCGCGGUAAUACGUAGGGUGCAAGCGUUAUCCGGAAUUAUUGGGCGUAAAGGGCUCGUAGGCGGUUCGUCGCGUCCGGUGUGAAAGCCCAUCGCUUAACGGUGGGUCUGCGCCGGGUACGGGCGGGCUGGAGUGCGGUAGGGGAGACUGGAAUUCCCGGUGUAACGGUGGAAUGUGUAGAUAUC